ACGCUGGCGGCAGGCCUAACACAUGCAAGUCGAGCGGUAGAGAGAAGCUUGCUUCUCUUGAGAGCGGCGGACGGGUGAGUAAUGCCUAGGAAUCUGCCUGGUAGUGGGGGAUAACGUUCGGAAACGGACGCUAAUACCGCAUACGUCCUACGGGAGAAAGCAGGGGACCUUCGGGCCUUGCGCUAUCAGAUGAGCCUAGGUCGGAUUAGCUAGUUGGUGGGGUAAUGGCUCACCAAGGCGACGAUCCGUAACUGGUCUGAGAGGAUGAUCAGUCACACUGGAACUGAGACACGGUCCAGACUCCUACGGGAGGCAGCAGUGGGGAAUAUUGGACAAUGGGCGAAAGCCUGAUCCAGCCAUGCCGCGUGUGUGAAGAAGGUCUUCGGAUUGUAAAGCACUUUAAGUUGGGAGGAAGGGCAGUUGCCUAAUACGUAACUGUUUUGACGUUACCGACAGAAUAAGCACCGGCUAACUCUGUGCCAGCAGCCGCGGUAAUACAGAGGGUGCAAGCGUUAAUCGGAAUUACUGGGCGUAAAGCGCGCGUAGGUGGUUUGUUAAGUUGGAUGUGAAAUCCCCGGGCUCAACCUGGGAACUGCAUUCAAAACUGACUGACUAGAGUAUGGGUAGAGGGUGGUGGAAUUUCCUGUGUAGCGGUGAAAUGCGUAGAUAUAGGAAGGAACACCAGUGGCGAAGGCGACCACCUGGACUGAUACUGACACUGAGGUGCGAAAGCGUGGGGAGCAAAC
rnacentral:rRNA from 1 species